AGUGGGGUGGGAAGCUUCAUGGGUGGGGUGUUAAACCCAAAUCCCUAAUCUAAGGUAUGUUUAAAUUGAAGGUUUGUCACUUUGUCCAUGUAGCCCUUAUU
rnacentral:pre_miRNA from 1 species